CAGUAACUGGCAUUUGGUUAUGGGGUGGCUGUUUUUCUACGUGGAACAAGCAGGGUCCCAGUUCAAGUUUCUGCUGCGUAUCUGAUAAUCUUGAGUUCUACAGGAAGUAGGGGUCUGACUUCAGGAAUGGCUUAUUCCAAGUUGUAAAACUAUCCCCUGUCGUGAAGUAUUCAAUCCAGGUUUAAGUCCUUCAGCAUCUGACAUUCUCCUGGCAACUGUAAUUCAAUCAAUGAUGACUCAUCUGAGAUGAGCAAGUUGGUCCAGUCAGACCAAACAAAAGACACUCUAUAAUCAGGGGAGAAGUCUUCUCUAUAUCUUUCUUAUAUGAGCAAAUUUAAUGACCUCCACCAUGUCUAAGAACAAGCAGCUAUUUCUGUAGAGAAAGAUCACCUUUGGAUAACAAUACAUGAUUUUAGGCUCUAAAAGUUAAAACGUGUUUGUAACGUUGAUAUUAUGCAGAGGUCUUGACAGAACUUAGCAGUCUCUGAGGCUACAGAGAAGUGUGAAAAAGAGCAUAGAGAUUUCAGAAGGAGGCAGAUUCAGUCAGACAUACUGAAUCCUGUUUGAUCUCAAUUCAGGCACACUCCAGAUGG
rnacentral:antisense_RNA from 1 species